rnacentral:rRNA from 1 species
CCCUUAGAUGUUCUGGGCCGCACGCGCGUUACAAUGAUGCACUCAACAGGCAUAUAACCUUGGCCGAGAGGCCUGGGUAAUCCCGUUAACUUGCAUCGUGUUAGGGAUAGAUUAUUGCAAUUAUUAAUCUUGAACGAGGAAUUCCUAGUAAUCGCAGAUCAUCAAUCUGCAAUGAUUACGUCCCUGCCCUUUGUACACACCGCCCGUCGCACCUACCGAUUGAAUGGUCCGGUGAAGCCUCCGGAUUGGCGCGCACCUCGGUGCCGCCGAGAAGUUGGCUAAACCUUACCAUUUAGAGGAAGGUGAAGUCGUANCA